GCCCGUUGGCGUCGGACCAAUGCUGCAAGGGGUGUGAGGAGAGGAGCCGCUGUUUUUCACUGAGCUGCCAUACCCCGAAAGCAGGAUGGAGCUGGAGUGAGGUGGAGGGGCCGCGAGCUGCUGACCGGCGUGUGGGACACUGGUGGUUUGCAGAUCACUGAGUCUCCACUGUUAGCUAUAUUGCACGGCGCAUGCUUGGAGAGUCCUGUUUCAUCUUGCAGGUGAAGAAACUGAGGCCUGAGGAAGGAAAUCCUGCAGGCCUCUCUCUGAGUGUGAGCUGAGACUGAGGGUUGGAGCCAGCUAGGAAAGAGAAGAG
rnacentral:lncRNA from 1 species